GAUGAACGCUGGCGGCGUGCCUAAUACAUGCAAGUCGAGCGAACAGACGAGGAGCUUGCUCCUUCGACGUUAGCGGCGGACGGGUGAGUAACACGUAGGUAACCUACCUAUAAGACUGGGAUAAUUUCGGGAAACCGGAUCCAAUACCGGCUAAUAUUUCCAACGGCUGGGUUCAGUGGGGAAAGAUGCCUUGCCUUUCCUUAUUAGACGAACCUGCGCCGUAUUAGCUAGUUGGUAAGGUAACGGCUUACCAAGGCAACGAUACGUAGCCGACCUGAGAGGGUGAUCGGCCACACUGGAACUGAGACACGGUCCAGACUCCUACGGGAGGCAGCAGUAGGGAAUCUUCCGCAAUGGGCGAAAGCCUGACGGAGCAACGCCGCGUGAGUGAUGAAGGUCUUCGGAUCGUAAAACUCUGUUAUUAGGGAAGAACAAACGUGUAAGUAACUGUGCACGUCUUGACGGUACCUAAUCAGAAAGCCACGGCUAACUACGUG
rnacentral:rRNA from 1 species